GACGAAGGUGGCUAGCGUUAUUCGGAUUUACUGGGCAUAAAGCGCGCGUAGGCGGCUCGAUAAGUCGGGGGUGAAAGCCCGGAGCUCAACUCCGGAAACGCCUUCGAUACUGUCGAGCUUGAGUGCAGGAGGGGUGACUGGAACUCAAGGUGUAGCGGUGAAAUGCGUAGAUAUCUUGAGGAACACCGGAGGCGAAGGCGAGUCACUGGACUGCAACUGACGCUCAGGUGCGAAAGCUAGGGGAGCAAACAGG
rnacentral:rRNA from 1 species